rnacentral:lncRNA from 1 species
AGGUUUACUGUGGAAAAUAUUUUGUAAUAUUAUUAGUUUCUUCUCAUGAAGUGUGAACCAAUUGGGGAAGUUCCACUAACCCAACACAUUCGGUCAAACAAUGAAGUUGCUAUAGCAAGAAUUGGGCGGUACUUUUUCAGAAGUGGUUCUAUUUAUGCAUAUAUAUAUAUAUAUAUAUAUUUCUUUCCUGCCUCUCCCAGUUUGUGAAAUUAUGAUAACCACAUUGCCAGCGAG